AUGUCUUCUUCUUCCUCGGUGGAAACAUCAUCGCGGCAACAAGACGACGCCAGAUCCAACGAAGAGCUCCUCUACCACAAGUUCACCAACGUGGUGUCAUCAUGGCCGACCACGCCAUCUCUUACCAAUCACCCGCUCUACCGCCAACGGCUGGUAUGCCCCCCUGGCGCCGAUGCUCUCCACGAUGGUGCCCCACGCGCCCCUCGGACAUCGUCAUCGCCACGGCGCCCCAAGUCCGGCACGACGUGGAUAAAAGCGAUGCUUUACUCCACGGUGCACCGGAGGGAGCACCCCGCGGCCGGCGGCUCCGGCCACCCACUCAACUCCCUCGGCCCACACGAGUGCGUCAAGUUCCUCGAGUACCAGCUCUACGUGCCGAACCAAAUCCCUGGCCUCGACGAGCUCACGGACCCCAGUCUCUUCGCCACGCACGCCCCGUUUGUGUCGCUGCCGGGGUCCGUGCCCGCGUCCGGCUGCAAGGUCGUGUACGUGUGCCGCGACCCCAAGGACGCCCUGGUCUCGCAAUGGAGCUUCGUCAACAAGUACAGGGCCAGGGACGGGAUGGAGCCGCUCUCCGUCAAGACCGCCGCCGGUUUCUUCUGCGACGGCGCCACGCUCUCCGGGCCGCACUGGGACCAUGUCCUCGGGUACUGGCGCGCGCACCUGGCGCAGCCGGAGCGGGUCCUCUUCCUCAGGUACGAGGAGAUGAGCCAGGACCCUGCCGCGUGCGUGCGGAAGCUGGCGGAGUUCAUCGGGCGCCCGUUCGCCAUGGAGGAGGAGGAGGAGGCGGGUGCCGUCGACGCCAUCGUCAACCUCUGCUCGUUCGACCACAUGACUGCGCUCGACGUGAUCAGGCGUCGGCAAGACGGAACUCCUGCUCGGUACGAUGGAGAACAGUUGGUUCUUCCGGCGCGGCCUCGUCGGGGAUUGGAAGAACCAUCUGUCGCCGGAGACUGCACGGAGGAUCGACGCCAUCACCAAGGCCAGGUUCAAAGGUUCCGGUCUCAUGCUUGA
rnacentral:rRNA from 1 species